rnacentral:rRNA from 1 species
GAUGAACGCUAGCGGCGUGCCUAAUACAUGCAAGUCGAGCGAACGGACGAGAAGCUUGCUUCUCUGAUGUUAGCGGCGGACGUGUGAGUAACACGUGGAUAACCUACCUAUAAGACUGGGAUAACUUCGGGAAACCGUAGCUAAUACCGGAUAAUAUUUUGAACCGCAUGGUUCAAAAGUGAAAGACGGUCUUGCUGUCACUUAUAGAUGGAACCGCGCUGCAUUAGCUAGUUGGUAAGGUAACGGCUUACCAAGGCAACGAUGCAUAGCCGACCUGAGAGGGUGAUCGGCCACACUGGAACUGGGACACGGUCCAGACUCCUACGGGAGGCAGCAGUAGGGAAUCUUGCGCAAUGGGCGAAAGCCUGACGGAGCAACGCCGCGUGAGUGAUGAAGGUCUUCGGAUCGUAAAACUCUGUUAUUAGGGAAGAACAUAUGUGUAAGUAACUGUGCACAUCUUGACGGUACCUAAUCAGAAAGCCACGGCUAACUACGUG